rnacentral:rRNA from 1 species
UCCCUACGGGGGGCAGCAGUAGGGAAUCUUCCACAAUGGGCGAAAGCCUGAUGGAGCAACGCCGCGUGGGUGAAGAAGGUCUUCGGAUCGUAAAACCCUGUUGUUAGAGAAGAAAGUGCGUGAGAGUAACUGUUCACGUUUCGACGGUAUCUAACCAGAAAGCCACGGCUAACUACGUGCCAGCAGCCGCGGUAAUACGUAGGUGGCAAGCGUUAUCCGGAUUUAUUGGGCGUAAAGGGAACGCAGGCGGUCUUUUAAGUCUGGAGUGAAAGGUACCGGCUCAACCGGUACAGGCUCUGGAAACU